AUGCUGUCUCAGCAAUAUGUGAACUGUGAACUUCCUGACGUUCAAGCUGGUUUUAGAAAAGGCAGAGGAACCAGAGAUCAAAUUGCCAACAUCUGCUGGAUCAUCAAAAAAGCAAGAGAGUUCCAGAAAAACAUCUAUUUCUGCUUUAUUGACUAUGCCAAAGUCUUUGACUGUGUCGAUCACAAUAAACUGUGGAAAAUUCUGAAAGAGAUGGGAAUAUCAGACCACCUGACCUGCCUCUUGAGAAAUCUGAAUGCAGGCCAGGAAGCAACAGUUAGAACUGGACAUGGAACAACAGACUGGUUCCAAAUAGGAAAAGGAGUACGUCAAGGCUGUAUAUUGUCACCCUGCUUAUUUAACUUCUAUGCAGAGUACACCAUGAGAAACGCUGGACUGGAAGAAACACAAGCUGGAAUCAAGAUUGCCAGGAGAAAUAUCAAUAGCCUCAGAUAUGCAGAUGACACCACCCUUAUGGCAGAAAGUGAAGAGGAACUAAAAAGCCUCUUGAUGAAAGUGAAAGAGGAGAGUGAAAAAGUCGGCUUAAAGCUCAACAUUCAGAAAAUGAAGAUCAUGGCAUCUGAUCCCAUCACUUCAUGGGAAAUAGAUGGAGAAACAAUGGAAACAGUGUCAGACUUUAUUUUUUUGGGCUCCAAAAUCACUGCAGAUGGUGAUUGCAGCCAUGAAAUUAAAAGAUGUGUACUCCUUGGAAGAAAAGUUAUGACCAACCUAGACAGCAUAUUGAAAAGUAGAGCCAUUACUUUGCCGACUAAGGUCUGUCUAGUCAAGGGUAUGGUCUUUCCUGUGGUCAUGUAUGGAUGUGAGAGUUGGACUGUGAAGAAGGCUGAGCGCCGAAGGAUUGAUGCUUUUGAACUGUGGUGUUGGAGAAGACUCUUGAAAGUCCUUUGGACUGCAAGGAGAUCCAACCAGUCCAUUCUGAAGGAGAUCAGCCCUGGGAUUUCUUUGGAAGGAAUGAUGCUAAAGCUGAAACUCCAAUACUUUGGCCACCUCAUGCCAAGAGUUGACUCAUUGGAAAAGACUCUGAUGCUGGGAGUGAUUGGGGGCAGGAGAAGAAGGGGACGACUGAGGAUGAGAUGGCUGGCUGGCAUCAUUGACUCGAUGGACGUGAGUCUGAGUGAACUCCGGGAGUUGGUGAUGGACAGGGAGGCCUGGCGUCCUGCGAUUCAUGGGGUCGCAAAGAGUUGGACAAGACUGAGCGACUGA
rnacentral:lncRNA from 1 species